rnacentral:tRNA from 2 species
AGCAGAGUGGCGCAGGGGAAGCGUGCUGGGCCCAUAACCCAGAGGUCGGUGGAUCGAAACCACUCUCUGCUA